AACGCUGGCGGCAUGCCUAACACAUGCAAGUCGAACGAGACCUUCGGGUCUAGUGGCGCACGGGUGCGUAACGCGUGGGAAUCUGCCCCCUUGGUUCGGAAUAACAGCGAGAAAUUGCUGCUAAUACCGGAUAAUGACGUAAGUCCAAAGAUUUAUCGCCCAAGGAUGAGCCCGCGUAGGAUUAGCUUGUUGGUGAGGUAAAAGCUCACCAAGGCGACGAUCCUUAGCUGGUCUGAGAGGAUGAUCAGCCACACUGGGACUGAGACACGGCCCAGACUCCUACGGGAGGCAGCAGUGGGGGAAUAUUGGACAAUGGGCGAAAGCCUGAUCCAGCAAUGCCGCGUGAGUGAUGAAGGCCUUAGGGUUGUAAAGCUCUUUACCCGGGAAGAUAAUGACUGUACCGGGAGAAUAAGCCCCGGCUAACUCCGUG
rnacentral:rRNA from 1 species